rnacentral:miRNA from 1 species
GAAGUCUGCCGAUGCCGUCAGU